rnacentral:hammerhead_ribozyme from 1 species
GCACUGCCGAGGAGUCCCACAAUAGGACGAAACAGUCGUCCAGUAC